rnacentral:rRNA from 1 species
GGCCAGACUUUGAUUAUGGCUCACGAUGAACGCUAGCUACAGGCCUAACACAUGCAAGUCGAGGGGAAACGGCAGCUUAGCUUGCUAAGCUGGACGUCGACCGGCGCACGGGUGAGUAACGCGUAUCCAACCUGCCCCACGGUGAGGGAUAACCCGCGGAAACGCGGCCUAAUACCUCAUGGUCUCCGAGUUUGCCAUCAACCUUGGAGUAAAGAUUCAUUGCCGUGGGAUGGGGAUGCGUCUGAUUAGCUUGUUGGCGGGGCAACGGCCCACCAAGGCAACGAUCAGUAGGGGUUCUGAGAGGAAAGCCCCCCACAUUGGAACUGAGACACGGUCCAAACUCCUACGGGAGGCAGCAGUGAGGAAUAUUGGUCAAUGGGCGAGAGCCUGAACCAGCCAAGUAGCGUGCAGGACGACGGCCCUAUGGGUUGUAAACUGCUUUUAUGCGGGGAUAAAGCGGGCGACGUGUCGCCCUUUGCAGGUACCGCAUGAAUAAGGACCGGCUAAUUCCGUGCCAGCAGCCGCGGUAAUACGGAAGGUCCGGGCGUUAUCCGGAUUUAUUGGGUUUAAAGGGAGCGCAGGCCGGGUAUUAAGCGUGUUGUGAAAUGUAGGCGCCCAACGUCUGCACCGCAGCGCGAACUGGUGCCCUUGAGUACGCACGACGUUGGCGGAAUUCGCCGUGUAGCGGUGAAAUGCUUAGAUAUGGCGAAGAACUCCGAUUGCGAAGGCAGCUGACGGGAGCGCUACUGACGCUCAUGCUCGAAAGCGCGGGUAUCGAACAGGAUUAGAUACCCUGGUAGUCCGCGCGGUAAACGAUGGAUGCCCGCUAUUUGCGCAUUAGCGCAAGUGGCCAAGUGAAAACGUUAAGCAUCCCACCUGGGGAGUACGCCGGCAACGGUGCAACUCAAAGGAAUUGACGG